UAUUGAACGCAUAUUGCGGCCACGGGUCCGUCCUGUGGCCACGCCCGUCUGAGGGUCGGCGACGUUCUACCCAUCGCUGGGAGGCUCUUGCCCAGCGCCUUGAGCUUUCGUAGCGAACUGCCUGUGUGCUCUCGCAGCAGCAGCAGUUUUGGCUCCGUGGCUUCAAAUGCAGACCCGGCCUGGCCGAACUCCUUUGCCUUGCUUUUCUUUGUUGAAAAGUGCUUGCGGGAGAGUCCUCGUGCAAGCAAAGGACAUGGCUUGGAUUUUGAUAUCUCAUGUCUUUGCUAAGGCACCGCGAGCGAGAAAGCAAGAAAGCUGGCAUCACAUUUCCGACCUCAGAUCGGACGAGAUUACCCGCUGAAUUUAAGCAUAUCAC
rnacentral:rRNA from 1 species